GGGUGAGUAAUACGUGAGUAACCUGCCCCUGACUCUGGGAUAAGCCUGGGAAACCGGGUCUAAUACUGGAUACGACUCCUCAUCGCAUGGUGGGGGGUGGAAAGGGUUCACUGGUUUUGGAUGGGCUCACGGCCUAUCAGCUUGUUGGUGGGGUAAUGGCUCACCAAGGCGACGACGGGUAGCCGGCCUGAGAGGGUGACCGGCCACACUGGGACUGAGACACGGCCCAGACUCCUACGGGAGGCAGCAGUGGGGAAUAUUGCACAAUGGGCGAAAGCCUGAUGCAGCGACGCCGCGUGAGGGAUGACGGCCUUCGGGUUGUAAACCUCUUUCAGUAGGGAAGAAGCGCAAGUGACGGUACCUGCAGAAGAAGCGCCGGCUAACUACGUGCCAGCAGCCGCGGUAAUACGUAGGGCGCAAGCGUUGUCCGGAAUUAUUGGGCGUAAAGAGCUCGUAGGCGGUUUGUCGCGUCCGCUGUGAAAGCCCGGGGCUCAACCCCGGGUCGGCAGUGGGUACGGGCAGACUAGAGUGCAGUAGGGGAGACUGGAAUUCCUGGUGUAGCGGUGAAAUGCGCAGAUAUCAGGAGGAACCACCGAUGGCGAAGGCAGGUCUCUGGGCUGUUACUGACGCUGAGGAGCGAAAGCAUGGGGAGCGAACAGGAUUAGAUACCCUGGUAGUCCAUGCCGUAAACGUUGGGCACUAGGUGUGGGGGACAUUCCACGUCCUCCGCGCCGUAGCUAACGCAUUAAGUGCCCCGCCUGGGGAGUACGGCCGCAAGGCUAAAACUCAAAGGAAUUGACGGGGGCCCGCACAAGCGGCGGAGCAUGCGGAUUAAUUCGAUGCAACGCGAAGAACCUUACCAAGGCUUGACAUCCACCGGACCGCUCCAGAGAUGGGGUUUCCCUUCGGGGCUGGUGGACAGGUGGUGCAUGGUUGUCGUCAGCUCGUGUCGUGAGAUGUUGGGUUAAGUCCCGCAACGAGCGCAACCCUCGUUCUAUGUUGCCAGCACGUGAUGGUGGGGACUCAUAGGAGACUGCCGGGGUCAACUCGGAGGAAGGUGGGGAUGACGUCAAAUCAUCAUGCCCCUUAUGUCUUGGGCUUCACGCAUGCUACAAUGGCCGGUACAAAGGGUUGCGAUACUGUGAGGUGGAGCUAAUCCCAAAAAGCCGGUCUCAGUUCGGAUUGAGGUCUGCAACUCGACCUCAUGAAGUCGGAGUCGCUAGUAAUCGCAGAUCAGCAACGCUGCGGUGAAU
rnacentral:rRNA from 1 species